CACGGAGGAAGGUGGGACGACGUCAAGUCAUCAUGGCCUUAUGUCCAGGGCUACACACGUGAUACAAUGGUGCAGACAGAAGGUUGCAAGACCGUAAGGUGGAGCCAAUCCCAAACUGCACCCUAGUUCAGAUUGAGGGCUGCAAUUCGCCCUCAUGAAGCUGGAAUCGCUAGUAAUCGCAGAUCAGCAGGCUGCGGUGAAUACGUUCCCGGGCCUU
rnacentral:rRNA from 1 species